GACUUGGACUGGCCGCCAGGGUCCGGAAGAGGAGCGAGUUCACUCGAUCAUCUACGUUACGUGGGUGGUGGGGAGCGACGAGCUCUGGGUUACUGUGAAGAAAUUAGAGUGUUUAAAGCAGGCAGGAAAGCUUGAAUAGACGAGCAUGGAAUAACAAGAUAGGACAUUGAGAGCCUCUUGUUGGUGAAGGGGGACGGAUGUAAUGAUUAAUAGGGUCAGUUGGGGGCAUUAGUAUUCAGUAGUCAGAGGUGAAAUUCUUGGAUUUACUGAAGACUAACUAGUGCGAAAGCAUUUGCCAAGGAUGUUUUCAUUAAUCAAGAACGAAAGUUAGGGGAUCGAAGACGAUCAGAUACCGUCGUAGUCUUAACUAUAAACGAUGCCGACUAAGGAUCGGCAGGGGUCGGUUAGCGACACUGUCGGGACUUUGUGAGAAAUCAAAGUUUAUGGGUUCUGGGGGGAGUAUGGUCGCAAGGCUGAAACUUAAAGGAAUUGACGGAAGGGCGCCACCAGGAGUGGAGCCUGCGGCUUAAUUUGACUCAACACGGGAAAACUCACCAGGUCCGGACAUGGUAAGGAUUGACAGAUUGAGAGCUCUUUCUUGAUUCUGUGGGUGGUGGUGCAUGGGCCGUUCUUAGUUGGUGGAGUGAUUUGUCUGGUUAAUUCCGAUAACGAACGAGACCUUGACCUGCUAACUAGAUGCUAGUACGAGAGUAUUGGUAGACUUCUUAGAGGGACUGACUA
rnacentral:rRNA from 1 species